AUUGAACGCUGGCGGCAUGCCUUACACAUGCAAGUCGAACGGUAACAGGUCUUCGGAUGCUGACGAGUGGCGAACGGGUGAGUAAUACAUCGGAACGUGCCCGAUCGUGGGGGAUAACGGAGCGAAAGCUUUGCUAAUACCGCAUACGAUCUACGGAUGAAAGCAGGGGACCGCAAGGCCUUGCGCGGACGGAGCGGCCGAUGGCAGAUUAGGUAGUUGGUGGGAUAAAAGCUUACCAAGCCGACGAUCUGUAGCUGGUCUGAGAGGACGACCAGCCACACUGGGACUGAGACACGGCCCAGACUCCUACGGGAGGCAGCAGUGGGGAAUUUUGGACAAUGGGCGCAAGCCUGAUCCAGCCAUGCCGCGUGCAGGAUGAAGGCCUUCGGGUUGUAAACUGCUUUUGUACGGAACGAAACGGCUCUUUCUAAUAAAGGGGGUUAAUGACGGUACCGUAAGAAUAAGCACCGGCUAACUACGUGCCAGCCGCCGCCGUAAUAC
rnacentral:rRNA from 1 species